rnacentral:tRNA from 1 species
AUUUCUGUGGUGUAUAAUAGCACACUAAAUUUUCAUUUUAGCAGAAUAAAAGCAGUUUAUCAGAAAU